rnacentral:lncRNA from 1 species
AAAAUAUAUUAAACUCAGUUAAUCCUGAUACAUACAAUCGAGAAUUAGCCACUCUCUAUUUUCGAAUAAUAUCAAAUCCGACCUACCUCAAUACAUAUACUUAGGGUCUGGUCACAUCUCCACCUUGGAAUAUACAACCAUGAUGAAUAUAAUCGGACUCUAAGACAUAUACUUAGAGCUAAUUAGACUCUAAUACAUAGAGUUUAAUAUCGACUAGAUCUUAACACAUAUACUUAGGACCUAGUCAAUCUCAAAUCCAACUGAAUCCUAAUGCAUAUACUUAGGAUUCAAUAAACCAAGGCACGAUUCAUCUCAUCCCAUCUAUAAAGGUCUCCUAAUCGAAGGUGCCCCAAUCUACAGGGGGUAAUUAACAAUAGAUGCUUGCAUCUAUUGGAAGCCAUGGACCUGCAAUACCCUGAUACCCAUAUACAUAUACAUAUUAAUCUGAAUCAUGAAUACAACCUCACAGAAUCCAUUGACCGUGCGAGGUGCGUCAUUCGUGGUGGCAGACAAAAGGCAGGAUUGAAAGUAGUAUCGAUUGAAUUACUAGUUGUGUAAUAUACCGAAAAUUCGGAAAACAAAAAUGUCGAACUUUAGUCAAAUUGACCAAAGUGCGAGGAUGGUGCACUUCGGAAAGUCCGAAGGUGUUAAAAUGAUUAAAAGUGAGUUGUGGAAGGUUUUCGAGAGCUAGAGAAUCAAAUUCUGCAAAACUGCAGAUUUUCAGCUCUCGGGGACCGGUCCCUAAAGGGAGAGACCGGUCCCCGAACGCGUGCAGAAUGAGACAGCCGAAAAAUCGGCUAAGUCCUGGAAGGAUAGCUCUCGGGAACCGGUCUCUGCCUGAGAGACCGGUCCCCCAGAGACCGGUCCCAUAAGGAGAGACCGGUUGCUCUGCGCGCAGCAGCUCUGGCUGCGCUGGGACAACGUUCGGGAACC